ACAUGCAAGUCGAGCGGCAGCGGAAAGUAGCUUGCUACUUUGCCGGCGAGCGGCGGACGGGUGAGUAAUGUCUGGGAAACUGCCUGAUGGAGGGGGAUAACUACUGGAAACGGUAGCUAAUACCGCAUGACCUCGAAAGAGCAAAGUGGGGGAUCUUCGGACCUCACGCCAUCGGAUGUGCCCAGAUGGGAUUAGCUAGUAGGUGAGGUAAUGGCUCACCUAGGCGACGAUCCCUAGCUGGUCUGAGAGGAUGACCAGCCACACUGGAACUGAGACACGGUCCAGACUCCUACGGGAGGCAGCAGUGGGGAAUAUUGCACAAUGGGCGCAAGCCUGAUGCAGCCAUGCCGCGUGUGUGAAGAAGGCCUUAGGGUUGUAAAGCACUUUCAGCGAGGAGGAAGGCAUCAUACUUAAUACGUGUGGUGAUUGACGUUACUCGCAGAAGAAGCACCGGCUAACUCCGUGCCAGCAGCCGCGGUAAUACGGAGGGUGCAAGCGUUAAUCGGAAUUACUGGGCGUAAAGCGCACGCAGGCGGUUUGUUAAGUCAGAUGUGAAAUCCCCGCGCUUAACGUGGGAACUGCAUUUGAAACUGGCAAGCUAGAGUCUUGUAGAGGGGGGUAGAAUUCCAGGUGUAGCGGUGAAAUGCGUAGAGAUCUGGAGGAAUACCGGUGGCGAAGGCGGCCCCCUGGACAAAGACUGACGCUCAGGU
rnacentral:rRNA from 1 species